AACGAACGCUGGCGGCAUGCCUAACACAUGCAAGUCGAACGAGACCUUCGGGUCUAGUGGCGCACGGGUGCGUAACGCGGGGGAACCUGCCCUUAGGUUCGGAAUAACUCCCCGAAAGGGGUGCUAAUACCGGAUAAUGUCUUCGGACCAAAGAUUUAUCGCCUUUGGAUGGGCCCGCGUUGGAUUAGCUAGUUGGUAGGGUAAAAGCCUACCAAGGCGACGAUCCAUAGCUGGUCUGAGAGGAUGAUCAGCCACACUGGGACUGAGACACGGCCCAGACUCCUACGGGAGGCAGCAGUGGGGAAUAUUGGACAAUGGGCGAAAGCCUGAUCCAGCAAUGCCGCGUGAGUGAUGAAGGCCUUAGGGUUGUAAAGCUCUUUUAUCCGGGAUGAUAAUGACAGUACCGGGAGAAUAAGCUCCGGCUAACUCCGUG
rnacentral:rRNA from 1 species